UACGUAGGGUGCAAGCGUUGUCCGGAAUUAUUGGGCGUAAAGAGCUCGUAGGCGGUUUGUCGCGUCUGCUGUGAAAACUCAGGGCUUAACCCUGAGCCUGCAGUGGGUACGGGCAGACUAGAGUGUGGUAGGGGAGAUCGGAAUUCCUGGUGUAGCGGUGGAAUGCGCAGAUAUCGAGGAAGACACCGGUGGCGAAGGCGGAUCUCUGGGCCUACUGACGUCUGAGGAGCGAAAGCGUGGGGAGCGAACAGG
rnacentral:rRNA from 1 species